CUGGAGAACAAGUAUCGUGAGAUAAUACCAAAGAACUUUUUCUUUUAGGAACAAGGACUGCACGAUGAUGUGGUACAGUGCAGAACUGGAAAGAAGACUGAGAGGGUCUCGGGCAAGAUGAGAGGGGGGCUUGAAGAUUAAUACCAUGGAAGAAGGAAGGCAGCGGGGAGGCAGACAAGCAAGGUUUGAGUAUCCCUGGCAGGGAGUGGGAUUCUUAUGCAUGUCAAGGACAUUUCAGAGAUUCCGAUUCUGAUUCUUGGGUCCUGGAAUUUUCCAUUACCUUGAGGUGAAGAAAUGGCUGGGUGAGAGUUUGGGCAGUUGACCUGAAACAAAGGCCUGAAGAGGAACCUGUGGAAAUGGAAUUGUGACCUCUAACUGUGGCUCUGUCACUAACUAGUAGAUCUCAACUAAGUCCCAUAAUCCCUUAGCAGUGGUUAGCAACAGUCCUGGGGUCAAGUUCUAGGUUUUACCAACUAUGAGUUGUAUGAGCUUGGGCAAGUUACUUAAUCUCUGUAAACCACAGUUUCCUCAUGUGUAAUGGGGGAUGGUUAUACUUGCUUCAGACAUAAACUUGCUGUGAGAUUUAAUUAGCUAGCAUUCAAAGCAUUCCCAGAGUGCCUUGCAGAAAGUGUCCAAUAAAUGUUAGCUAUAUUUGUUAGUUUUUUAAAAAAAAAUAUAGACAUCUAUAUGCACUUUUUUAAAUAUUUUUUUUGGUACCAGGUGUAAUGAAAAUUCAAACUGUACAAAGUCAGGUCCUUGCUUUCCAGGAGUGUAUAAUCUUCUAAGGGAAAUAAUAUAUAAUUAUUUAUGAUUCAAGGCAGUAUUUGUUAGUUACACAUAACUGGUAUUCGAAAGGUUUUUGAAAUACAGAGGUGAGUCGCUUCUGGCUAAAAUUAUCAGGAGGUGUUUUAGAGAAGGCAUUUCAGAUGGGCCUCCAAAGACAGGCAGAGUUUUAAAAAUUAAAAUUUGUGAGAUAUACUGAAAGAAUCACGAUCCAGUCCAAAUUGUUAGGGCAACAGAGAAACACACAGUUCAUUUUUAAACAGCUUUGUUGAGAUAUAGUUGGCAUAAAAUGAACUGUGCAUAUGUAAAAUGUACAAUAUGAUAUGUACAUAUAUCCCUGCAAAACCAUCACUGCAAUCAAGAUAAUGAACAUAUCACCCAAAAGUUUUCUUAUGCCACUUUGAAAUCCUUCCUUCCCACCCACACCCAGGCCUUCCCAAUUUGCAGGCAACCACCAAUCUGUGCUCUGUCAGUGUAAAUUUGCUUGCAUUUUCUGGAAUUUUCUGUAAGUGUAAUCAUAAGAUAUGAACUUUUUUAUGUGUGCCUUAUUACACUCCACAUAAUGAUGUUGAGAUAGUUCAUUGCUUUUUAUUGUUGAAUAGUACUCUAUUCAUGAAUUUACAAUUGUUCUUCCAUUGAUGAAGAUUCAGACUGUUUCCAGUUUUUGGU
rnacentral:lncRNA from 10 species